UACGGGGGGGGCAAGCGUUGCUCGGAAUCACUGGGCGUAAAGGGUGCGUAGGCGGCCGUGCAAGUCUGGCGUGAAAGCCCCGGGCUCAGCCCGGGAAGUGCGCUCGAAACUGCGCGGCUCGAGUGCCGGAGGGGAGAGUGGAAUUCCUGGUGUAGCGGUGAAAUGCGUAGAUAUCAGGAGGAACACCGGUGGCGAAGGCGGUUCUCUGGGCCUGACCUGACGCUGAGGAGCGAAAGCGUGGGGAGCGAACAGG
rnacentral:rRNA from 1 species